CCCCAAAUCGUAUAAAACUUGCCCUAUCCCCUUUCACUCUUAUUUCCCAAAUCUCUCUCGAUUUUGCUCUCUCUCUCUCUCUCUAUCAAUUUUGCUCUCGAUAUUCCUCUCUCGAUUUUGCUCUGUUUCUCACUCUAUAAAUCGCCAUGGUCGUCUGAAUAAGAGACCUCCAACGGUACAAACUCCCUCAAAUUCUUUAUCUGGUCUUUGGAUUCAUGAAAUGGGAUGCUCAUUGUUGGUGAGCAUGGCUUCCCUCAUUUGCUUGAUAAUUUUGCCUAUAAUAUUUUAGUAGCUGAAGUUUCUGAGGCCAUUCCUUCAAAUGGUUGUAUACAUGAAGAAGUGAAAACUACGAAUGAAAAUUUGAGAAGGUACGACUCAUUGGGAUAUAACUUCAUUUUCUUUGAGCCAAAAUUGAUCUAAUUUUGCUCUUCAUCCCAAUCAAUUUUUUGAUUUUCUGAUUUGUUUUCUUUAUUUUUGCAGAGAUCAAGACAACCUUGUCGAAUUAUUAAAUGAAAUGGCUUUACUGAAGGAGAGGAACAAAUCAAUAGAAGGUGAACUAAAAGAAAUUCAAGAGAGAUAUUCAGAGAUAAGUCUCAAGAAAAAGGGUUUUGCAUUAUUAAAUAUAGAAAAAGGGUUUUGCAUUAUUAUGAAGUAUUAUAAUGUUUGAAACUUCUUACUGCAAGAAAAAGAAAGAUUAAAUCUCUAUUGGUUCAACUAUUUGAUUUUCUUUGAUUUUAUUACUUAACUAGAGGAUACCAAG